rnacentral:lncRNA from 1 species
CCCCGGAAGUACCGCCUCCCUUCCGCAGCCCGCCAAUGGGAGCGCAGGCGGUGUAGCCACGCCCCCACAUUUCUCGACAACCAAUGGGAAGCCGUCUGCGGGGUGAGGCCCCGCCCCGCGCCCGGGGAAUUCCCCCCCCUUCUCCCCGAAUGACGUAAUCGGUGCCCUUAUAUAGACAGGCGGCGGCGCUCCCCGCUCAGUCGUGCGCCGGCGAUGAUACAGAGAGCAGCGAUGGUGACGGACACGGAGCGAACAACGCGAGCGUCAGGAUAUGGCACCCCCUUGUGCCCCUCUGAUGGCGGCUGAGGACCCCCUGCACCCCCCCAUUCUAAACGCCCUUUUCUACCGCCCGGAGCCUGACGAGGACGACGAUGAUGAGCAAGGGUGGGACGGGGACACCCCCGAGACCCCCCCGGCGGAUGGAGACCCUCCCAACACUGGGGAACCCCCUAACAAUGAAGAACCCGGGAGCGAAGAGGUCCGCCCUCGCAGCACCAAGAGAGUACGGUUCAGCCUUCAGGUCCAGGUCUUCCUCCUCCAGCCCCCCCCAGACCCCGAUGCCCGCCGGGGGCCUUGGGAGACCAUGGCCCGCGACCGCCUGCGCUUUGCCCGCCGCUGUGCUCUGCUGCGCCCCAUCCUGGAGCCCAUCCUGCAGCCCUCGCACCGGGAGCGCAUUUGGGAACGGCUGCAAGGAGGGGAGAGCCUCCAGGACCCCCCCCCCCCAGGAGCCCACUGAUGGAUGACACCUCCCCGCCCCUCCCCUCCCCCCCCCAUGGGACCCCUCCUGCUGAUGAGGAACCCUCUGACUGAUGGGAAACCCCAGGGCUCUGCUUGUGGAAGGGGAGUACCCCAGUGAUGAGGGGCACUCUGCAUGUUUUGGGGGAGGGGGGGGUUGGUGAUAUGGGCCCUCCCUCCCACUGUAAUUUAUUGAUUUUUUUUAUUAUUAUUAUUAUUUAUUUUAUAUGUAUUUUAUUAAACCUGUAAAAUAAACUUUUUUGCUACUA